AUUGAACGCUGGCGGCAUGCUUUACACAUGCAAGUCGAACGGUAACAGGCCGCAAGGUGCUGACGGGUGGCGAACGGGUGAGUAAUGCAUCGGAACGUGCCCAGUCGUGGGGGAUAACUACUCGAAAGAGUAGCUAAUACCGCAUACGAUCUAUGGAUGAAAGCGGGGGACCGUAAGGCUUCGCGCGAUUGCCGCCGACGACUGCAGAUUGGGUAGGUGGUGGGGUAAUGGCUCACUAAGCCAAUGAUGUGUAGACGACCUGAGAGGGUGACGAGCCACAGUGGGAGUGAGACAAGGCCCAGACUCAUACGGGAGGCAGCAGGAGGGAAUCUUCCGCAAGGGACGAAAGUCUGACGGAGAAAAGCCGCGUGAGUGAUGAUGGGUUUCGGCUCGUAAAGAUCUGUUGUUAGGGAAGAAAAAGUAACGAACGAACUAGGUCGGUAACUUGACGGUACCUAACCAGAAAGCCACGGCUAACUACGUG
rnacentral:rRNA from 1 species